CCUACGGGAGGCAGCAGUGGGGAAUAUUGCACAAUGGGGGAAACCCUGAUGCAGCGACGCCGCGUGAGUGAAGAAGUAUUUCGGUACGUAAAGCUCUAUCAGCAGGGAAGAAAAUGACGGUACCUGACUAAGAAGCCCCGGCUAACUACGUGCCAGCAGCCGCGGUAAUACGGAGGGGGCAAGCGUUAUCCGGAUUUACUGGGGGUAAAGGGAGCGUAGACGGCAGUGCAAGUCUGGAGUGAAAUCCCAUGGCUUAACCAUGGAACGGCAGUGGAAACUGAGCAGCUAGAGUGCAGGAGAGGUAAGCGGAAUUCCAAGUGUAGCGGUGAAAUGCGUAGAUAUUAGGAGGAACACCAGUGGCGAAGGCGGCUUACUGGACUGUAACUGACGUUGAGGCUCGAAAGCGUGGGGAGCAAACAGGAUUAGAUACCCUAGUAGUC
rnacentral:rRNA from 1 species